rnacentral:rRNA from 1 species
CGUAGGGGCGAAGCGUUAUCCGGAUUUACUGGGUGUAAAGGAGCGUAGACGGUGUGGCAAGUCUGAUGUGAAAGGCAUGGGCUCAACCUGUGGACUGCAUUGGAAACUGUCAUACUUGAGUGCCGGAGGGGUAAGCGGAAUUCCUAGUGUAGCGGUGAAAUGCGUAGAUAUUAGGAGGAACACCAGUGGCGAAGGCGGCUUACUGGACGGUAACUGACGUUGAGGCUCGAAAGCGUGGGGAGCAAACAGGAUU